UACGUAGGUGGCGAGCGUUAUCCGGAAUUAUUGGGCGUAAAGGGUGCGUAGGCGGUACAUUAAGUCUUUAGUUAAAGGCAGUGGCUCAACCAUUGUAUGCUAAGGAAACUGAUAUACUAGAGUGCAGUAGAGGUUAGUGGAAUUCCAUGUGUAGCGGUGAAAUGCGUAGAUAUAUGGAGGAACACCAGUGGCGAAGGCGGCUAACUGGACUGUAACUGACGCUGAGGCACGAAAACGUGGGGAGCAAAUAGGAUUAGAUACCCUAGUAGUCCACGUCGUAAACGUUGAGUACUAAGUGUCGGGGCAACUCGGUGCUGAAGUAAACACAUUAAGUACUCCGCCUGGGAAGUACGCUCGAGAGAGUGAA
rnacentral:rRNA from 1 species